rnacentral:snRNA from 1 species
CCGGUCUACCGGUUCGGG